ACAAGGGCAAAGGCGCGGCUUCCAGUUCUUCUCAGCCUCCUUCUCAAGACGCUGAAGCCGCUGCGCCCCUUUCCUGGAGCUCCUUCGAUCCUCUGGAGUUUAUUGAGAGAGGAGUAACCAUGGUGGGUGACAUGACUCGCUUCACCAACACUUCGACGGAGGACCUGAGGAAGAAAGCCUUAGAGUAUGAAGUCAAGGGUACUCUCCUUAAUUAUCUGUUGACAAACCGCCAGGAGCAAGAGGUUAUGGAGGCGAGGCAAAAAGUGAAGAUGGUUGAUGAUAACCUCGCUGAUAUUGAGAAGAGGUAUUCUGAAACUAAGGCGAAGCUGGAGG
rnacentral:lncRNA from 1 species